AUGGACGACGAUGCGCGCCAGGGCUGGUACCGGUCCUUCCUCCCCGACGACAUGACCGCCCACGGCGAGCCGCGGCUCCUCCAUUCGUACAAGACCAUCUUUCACGGAUUCGCCGCCUUGCUGACGGAGGAGGAGCUGGACGCCGCGUCCAGGAAACCCGGCUUCGGGCGCUGGUUCCCGGACGGGAUGAUGUACCCCACGACGACCCGCUCGCCCGAGUUCCUCGGCCUGAGGAAGGACGCCGGCUUGUGGGCGAAAUCUAGCUACGGCAAAGGGAUCAUCAUCGGGGUGAUCGACUCCGGCAUCGAGUCGCGCCAUCCCUCGUUCGACGACGCCGGCAUCUCGCCGCCGCCCGCCAGGUGGAAGGGCGCGUGCACGGGCGUGGACAAGGGCGUCCGCUGCAACAACAAGCUUAUUGGCGUCAGGUCCUUGGUGGACUACAACCCUGCCGAUGAGACCGGCCACGGCACGCACGUGGCGUCCAUUGCGGUGGGCAACUUCGUGGCCAAUGCCUCGUCGUCCCACGGACAGGCCGCUGGGACGGCCGCCGGGAUCGCUCCGGGCGCACACUUGGCCGUUUAUAAGGCGUGCAGAGCUACUGGAUGCCUCCGUUCGAACGUAGUUCAUGCGAUUGAUACGGCGGUGAGCGAUGGGGUCGAUGUGAUCAACAUCUCCCUCGGUACUAGGGCGGUACUACCGCUGGACAAAGACGUUUUGGCCAUUGGCGCAUUCCGUGCGGUGGCCAAGGGUGUCGUCUUUGUGACUUCUGCUGGCAACAAAGGCCCCAACCCGUCCACCAUCAAGAACGAUUCGCCGUGGGAGAUCACACGGUGGCCGCCGGGUCGGUGGACCGGAGGCUCGCCGCCGACUUUGUGCUGGAGUCGGGCGACCUAG
rnacentral:rRNA from 1 species